CAGCCGCCGCGGGAAUACGAAGGUCCCGAGCGUUGUUCGGAAUCACUGGGCGUAAAGGGAGCGUAGGUGGUGGUUUAAGUCCGUUGUGAAAGCCCUGGGCUCAACCUGGGAAUUGCGGUGGAUACUGGGUCACUAGAGUGUGGUAGAGGAUAGUGGAAUUUCCGGUGCAGCAGUGAAAUGCGUAGAGAUCGGAAGGAACAUCUGUGGCGAAGGCGACUAUCUGGGCCAACACUGACACUGAGGCACGAAAGCGUGGUGAGCAAACAGGAUUAGAUACCCCCGUAGUCCCUGUCUCUUAUAC
rnacentral:rRNA from 1 species